UUACUGACGCUAAAGCUCGAAGGUGCGGGUAUCGAACAGGAUUAGAUACCCUGGUAGUCCGCACGGUAAACGAUGGAUGCCCGCUGUUUGCGAUAUAUUGUAAGCGGCCAAGCGAAAGCGUUAAGCAUCCCACCUGGGGAGUACGCCGGCAACGGUGAAACUCAAAGGAAUUGACGGGGGCCCGCACAAGCGGAGGAACAUGUGGUUUAAUUCGAUGAUACGCGAGGAACCUUACCCGGGCUUGAACUGCAGGAGAACGAUCCAGAGAUGGUGAGGCCCUUCGGGGCUCCUGUGGAGGUGCUGCAUGGUUGUCGUCAGCUCGUGCCGUGAGGUGUCGGCUUAAGUGCCAUAACGAGCGCAACCCCUUUCGCCAGUUGCCAUCAGGUGAUGCUGGGCACUCCGGCGACACUGCCACCGUAAGGUGCGAGGAAGGUGGGGAUGACGUCAAAUCAGCACGGCCCUUACGUCCGGGGCUACACACGUGUUACAAUGGGUGGUACAGAGAGCAGGGUGCACGCAAGUUCACCCGAAUCACGAAAGCCAUCCUCAGUUCGGAUUGGGGUCUGCAACCCGACCCCAUGAAGCUGGAUUCGCUAGUAA
rnacentral:rRNA from 1 species